rnacentral:rRNA from 1 species
CCCUUAGAUGUUCUGGGCAGCACGCGCGCUACAAUGGUCUUCGCAAACGGAUGCAUUCUCGAAGGAGAAUGCCAAUCUUGGAAUCUAUGCCUUGGUCGGGACAGUUGCUUGCAAUUUUUCGACUCGAACCAGGAAUUCCUUGUAAUCGUGAUUCAUCACAUCACGAUGAUUACGUCCCUGCCCUUUGUACACACCGCCCGUCGCACCUACCGAUUGAAUGGUCCGGUGAAAUCUCCGGACUGGCGUGAGUCGGAGCAAUCUGACAAACACCGGAAAGUUGAUUAAACCUUACCAUUUAGAGGAAGGUGAAGUCGUAACA